UGAAAGCCUGAUGCAGCGACGCCGCGGGAGAGAUGACGGCCUUCGGGUUGUAAACCUCUUUCAGCAGGGAAGAAGCGCAAGUGACGGUACCUGCAGAAGAAGCACCGGCUAACUACGUGCCAGCAGCCGCGGUAAUACGUAGGGUGCGAGCGUUGUCCGGAUUUAUUGGGCGUAAAGAGCUCGUAGGCGGCUUGUCGCGUCGGAUGUGAAAGCCCGGGGCUUAACUCCGGGUCUGCAUUCGAUACGGGCAGGCUAGAGUGUGGUAGGGGAGAUCGGAAUUCCUGGUGUAGCGGUGAAAUGCGCAGAUAUCAGGAGGAAUACCGGUGGCGAAGGCGGAUCUCUGGGCCAUUACUGACGCUGAGGAGCGAAAGCGUGGGGAGCGAACAGGAUUAGAUACCCUGGUAGUCCACGCCGUAAACGUUGGGAACUAGGUGUGGGUCACAUUCCACGUGGUCCGCGCCGCAGCUAACGCAUUAAGUUCCCCGCCUGGGGAGUACGGCCGCAAGGCUAAAACUCAAAGGAAUUGACG
rnacentral:rRNA from 1 species